rfam:Nicotiana attenuata strain TT chromosome 9, whole genome shotgun sequence.
CGGACAGAUUAUUGUAUUCGACUGUAAUCGACGGUAUUCACGACACGAAAUAGGGGAUUAAACUGUUUUUAAAACGGAAAGUGAAUCAAUUAACAUAAUAGACUCCU